rnacentral:lncRNA from 1 species
CGUCCGGGGUUAGCCUGUAACGAGAGCGCCACGCGCUUCAGAUCUCCGCGCAUUAAAAACUAAAGGCACGCGCUGGGAGGGAGUCACGGUUCUCUACAGAACAACCCGUGCCUUAUACGACUAGCACUUCAACCAGCGGAAGAGUUCAAGCUCUUUCCCACAAUCAAACUUCACAUACGAAAACUAUAACCCGAGCAGCCUUCUCCAGCUUCUCACCGCGACUACAGCUCACUUUAUCCCGCACGACACCUGUCCGAAGAAAUCAGCAGCUCUUCAGCCGUCUCGGAGCAGGCGGAGACCGGUCCUUGGAAAGGUUCAUGCUUCCGCCCGAAGACAGAGGGAUUGGGCACCUAUAAAUGUCUACAGCACAGUAACGUGCCAGCUGAACACUGAAGAACACACACACACACACACACACACCGUCCAUGAGGGCUUUGACGAGGCUAACCUAAAAUGACGUUCAGCUGCUAGGGAGAAGACUGAGACCUACCUUCUCAUCAAAAUCCCUGAAA